rnacentral:rRNA from 1 species
CCUACGGGUGGCAGCAGUGGGGAAUAUUGGGCAAUGGGCGCAAGCCUGACCCAGCAACGCCGCGUGCAGGAUGAAGGCUUUCGGGUUGUAAACUUCUUUUUAGAGGGAAGAGCAGAAGACGGUACCUCUUGAAUAAGCCACGGCUAACUACGUGCCAGCAGCCGCGGUAAUACGUAGGUGGCAAGCGUUGUCCGGAUUUACUGGGUGUAAAGGGCGUGCAGCCGGGAAGACAAGUCAGAUGUGAAAUCCCGCGGCUCAACCGCGGAACUGCAUUUGAAACUGUUUUUCUUGAGUACCGGGGAGGUCAGCGGAAUUCCUUGUGUAGCGGUGAAAUGCGUAGAUAUAAGGAAGAACACCAGUGGCGAAGGCAGCGUACCGGCGCCGGACUGACGCUGAGGCACGAAAGCGUGGGUAUCGAACAGGAUUAGAUACCCCAGUAGUC